rnacentral:rRNA from 1 species
GACGAACGCUGGCGGCGUGCCUAAUACAUGCAAGUAGAACGCACAGUUUAUACCGUAGCUUGCUACACCAUAGACUGUGAGUUGCGAACGGGUGAGUAACGCGUAGGUAACCUGCCUGGUAGCGGGGGAUAACUAUUGGAAACGAUAGCUAAUACCGCAUAAUAUUGAUUAUUGCAUGAUAAUUGAUUGAAAGAUGCUAUUGCAUCACUACCAGAUGGACCUGCGUUGUAUUAGCUAGUAGGUGUGGUAACGGCUCACCUAGGCGACGAUACGUAGCCGACCUGAGAGGGUGAUCGGCCACACUGGGACUGAGACACGGCCCAGACUCCUACGGGAGGCAGCAGUAGGGAAUCUUCGGCAAUGGACGAAAGUCUGACCGAGCAACGCCGCGUGAGUGAAGAAGGUUUUCGGAUCGUAAAGCUCUGUUGUAAGAGAAGAACGGGUGUGAGAGUGGAAAGUUCACACUGUGACGGUAGCUUACCAGAAAGGGACGGCUAACUACGUG